rnacentral:rRNA from 1 species
AUUGAACGCUGGCGGCAGGCCUCACACAUGCAAGUCGAACGAGUGGCGGACGGGUGAGUAAUGUCUGGGAAACUGCCCGAUGGAGGGGGAUAACUCCUGGAAACGGUAGCUAAUACCGCAUACCAUCAGAUGUGCCCAGCUGGGAUUAGCUAGUUGGUGGGGUAACGGCUCACCAAGGCGACGAUCCCUAGCUGGUCUGAGAGGAUGACCAGCCACACUGGAACGGAGACACGGUCCAUACUCAUACGGGAGGCAGCAGUGGGGAAUAUUGCACAAUGGGCGCAAGCCUGAUGCAGCCAUGCCGCGUGUAUGAAGAAGGCCUUCGGGUUGUAAAGUACUUUCAGCGGGGAGGCGUUACCCGCAGAAGAAGCACCGGCUAACUCCGUGCCAGCAGCCGCGGUAAUUC